rnacentral:rRNA from 1 species
AUUGAACGCUGGCGGCGUGCCUAACACAUGCAAGUCGAGCGGUAACAGGUGUAGCAAUACAUGCUGACGAGCGGCGGACGGGUGAGUAACGCUUGGGAAUCUGCCUGUUAGUGGGGGACGAACCCGGGGAAACGUACGGGCGUAAUACCGCAUACGCACUACGGUGGAAAGACCGGGGACCGGCAAGGCCUGGCGCUAACAGAUGAGCCCAAGUCGGAUUAGCUAGUUGGUAGGGUAACGGCCUACCAAGGCGACGAUCCGUAA